rnacentral:rRNA from 1 species
AUUGAACGCUGGCGGCAGGCCUAACACAUGCAAGUCGAGCGGAGCGGCGGACGGGUGCGUAAUGCCUAGGAAUCUGCCUGGUAGUGGGGGAUAACGUCCGGAAACGGGCGCUAAUACCGCAUACUAUCAGAUGAGCCUAGGUCGGAUUGGCUAGUUGGUGGGGUAAAGGCCUACAAAGGCGACGAUCCGUAACUGGUCUGCGAGGAUGAUCAGUCAAACUGGAACAGAGACACGGGCCAGACUCCUACGGGAGGCAGCAGUGGGGAAUAUGGGACAAUGGGCGAAAGCCUUGUCCAGCCAUGCAGCGUAUGUGAAGAAAGUCUUCGGAUUGUAAAGCACUUUAAGUUGGGAGGCGUUACCAGCAGAAUAAGCACCGGCUAACUUCGUGCCAGCAGCCGCGGUAAUUC